GGUAAAGUAUGGUCUUGGUUCUCAAAUAGUUGCUUGUGUCCAUUUCCGUUGAGUAGAUUAAUAUACCUGGUUAUUUCGCUACUCUUGUGUUUAAGUUUUUAUACGUACAAAAGUUUUAAAAAUGUUUUUGUAUAGUUAUUAAUAUUUAAAUACCUAACGUUGGUUAAAAUCUAAACCUGACAAGUAAUUGUUUAACCGUCGUGUUGGGAAAAUUAGUGUCUCGUCAAUGGAUUUAUUGUGAAUAGAUUACAAUAGUUAUAAAUAGAUAUUAAAUAGUUUUUUCAUUCUUUUAUCUAAUCAUGAAACAUUCAUCUUAACUAUUUGCUGUUUCAUUUGUGUAGGCAUGUAAUGGGCCAUUUUGUGGGCUUUCUUUUUAGGUGUGUAAAGCUUUGAAGUUACAUUGCUACAUCAACAUGUACUAUGGUUGUCAGCUAUAUGAAAUAAUCAAAAGAAGUUUGUCUUGUGCUGUGACCAUUCCUAUAGUAGCAGAUAGUUUCAGUAUGAUGGAAGGCUGGUCACAUGUUGGGUGUGGGUAACUCUUGAGGUUUGAGUGGAGUUUAGGCAGAGGGAGAGUUAGUCAGUGUGAAACCAAACAAAAUUACUGAUGAAUUCUUGUUGGGUGGUUAGCAGUAAUGGAUAGUUGAAACAUGGCAUAUAUUUUUGUUUUAAGGAAAUUUUACAAAUUGUUUUGAUUAUUAAUGUUUGGUAGGUUUUUUAUUGUUUCCUGAAGUAGUAGAUGGUUGCUGUUUGACGGAAGGCUGGUAAAAUGUUGGGUGAGGUGAGCUGUGGAGGUAUGAACUCGAAUGCACAACUAAUUUUGGCCUGGAGUGUUGGUUAUGAAGCGCAUUGCGAGUUUCACAGGAAUAUCUUCAAAGAUUGGCCCUUCUGAACUGCACAUGAAAUAUAAAAAAAAAUCAUCUGACUAAAGAAACUGUUUUGCCAUACCACCAGUGAUUAUCUUUUAUUAUUCAUUUUAUUGCAUUUUCAGGAGAUGGUUCCCGGUUCGACGGAAAGCCAGUCGCAUCGUGAUCAAGGGAAGGUGUAAAUGUAUGGCCGUAAAUGCACUCGGCCUACAUUUGCAGGAUUUGGGGGGUCUGAACUGCGUUGUAGGUUUGAGUACAGUUCAAGCAGAAGGGGUUUGGUCUGUAUCAAAUCAAACGUAAUCCAGGAUGAAUUCUUUUCGGUUGGUUAUCAGUUAUGGGUAAGCGAAACGUGUAUUUUUCGGUGGUCAAGGUCCAAGCAAAAAGAAAGCUUACCCAACGUAGACACCAAUAGACGGUACGGGGGCAUGUGGUUUCAACCAUCCAAAUACGCCAUGAAUGUUAUCGACUAAAUUAGUUAUCGUAGAUCUCGAAGCAGUAGAUGGUAAUGUAUGAAGGACAGCAAAUUUUAUGGGGAUACCCUCGAGUCAUAAGGCCUAUCUAAACCGCGUUGCGAGUUCAAGAAACUUCAGGCAGAAGGAGAGCUGGUCGGUGUGACAAACGAAAGCGCAGAAGAAUUCUUGUCGGUUACCAUUCAGGGUUUAUUUUUAAUACUCUGUUGCGUCGACGAAUUGGAACUGGUUACCAACCAUCGAAUGGAGCGGAAUGUGGUUUCCAUCAUCCAACUACCCCUUCAUUAUUCUUCAGUAUUUAUAAUAUAUGAAACGUUAAUACCUGCUGUGUAUACCAUAACUACAAUGAGACUGUUUUUUUAAAUGCUGAUAUGAAGGUUGUUUACUGUAUAUCAAAUUUCCUGUUCUAAUUGAAGUUGUGAUCAAAAACAUUAGGUUUGUGUUUCCUCAUUUGCGAUAGUCAAAAUAAAUUUGGGCAAAACAACAA